UGCUGUUGUUUUUAGCCUGGCUUAUAAACUCCAGCCUGCUUUUAUAUUAUUGAAGAGGUUGAUAGUUUUCCGGGUUAGGGUCGUACUACAAAUCAUGAGGCAUGAAACCUAAGUUCAUGGCAUUAUGGGAUGUGUUGACUACAGAUCGUGAGUUCUUACUCUUGAAACAAGUGCUGCAUUUGUGUAGUCUUUAAAUGCAGUGACUUGCUAGAAUCCCUUUCAUGUAAGAUUUGUGAAAGUGUGAUUUAUUCAUGGGCCUGGCUUGGCAAGACUCAGUGAUAAUAUUCUUACAGAGAAUGCACAAGUGAUGGUACUUGCUGCAACCAACUGAACUUCAGAACUCAAUGAAGCAAUCCUCCAACGUCUUCCUUAGGCCUUUGAAAUUGGGAUACUGAGAUCCUGAAGGUUGUUUUGAAAGGGGAGAAGAUCAAAAGCAAAAUUGACUUUGAUUGCAUAACAAGUUUGUGUGAGGGCUACACUGGUUCUCAUCUGUGAUUUGUUAUAAUCCCAGCUAAUUCUUAAAGGCACCAAGGCCAUUGUCUGAGUCAGACUUGCAGGGAGUUCUUGGCACAUCAACUAAGACUACGGUUGCUGCAAAUGAGUACAGUAGGUCAAGCUCACAUUCACCUGGGUGGCCAGGCAGUCAGAUGACUAUCAGGUUCAAGCCACAACUAAUGAGCUCUCUAAACUCAUAGUAUCUCAAAUCUUGAAUCUUCAGUCGGAUAAUCAGGACCCUUGAAAUUUGAAAUAUUCAUCUGUUUUUUCUUAAUAUGAGGCCAAGAGAAAUUGUAUUUUAAAUUAUUUUAAUGUUUUCCCUAUUCUGAAAUGUUCAAAGUAGAAUAUGUUGUUUUUAGGUGACUCAAAAUUGCAGAUUCGCUGUAGCAUAGAGCUCUUAACAUGGUAUUAAUACAUAUCUUUUCUUUUGCUUUAGAUAUAAA